CCCCAGUAAACGGCGGCCGUAACUAUAACGGUCCUAAGGUAGCGAAAUUCCUUGUCGGGUAAGUUCCGACCCGCACGAAAGGCGUAACGAUUUGGGCACUGUCUCAACGAGAGACUCGGUGAAAUCAUAGUACCGGUGAAGAUGCCGGUUACCCGCGACAGGACGGAAAGACCCCGUGGAGCUUUACUGUAGCCUGAUAUUGAAAUUCGGUACAGUUUGUACAGGAUAGGUAGGAGCCUUAGAAGCGUGAGCGCUAGCUUACGUGGAGGCAUUGGUGGGAUACUACCCUAAUUGUAUUGGAUUUCUAACCCGCAGCACUUAUCGUGCUGGGAGACAGUGUCAGGCGGGCAGUUUGACUGGGGCGGUCGCCUCCUAAAGAGUAACGGAGGCGCUCAAAGGUUCCCUCAGAAUGGUUGGAAAUCAUUCAUAGAGUGUAAAGGCAUAAGGGAGCUUGACUGCGAGACCUACAAGUCGAGCAGGGUCGAAAGACGGACUUAGUGAUCCGGUGGUUCCGCAUGGAAGGGCCAUCGCUCAACGGAUAAAAGCUACCCCGGGGAUAACAGGCUUAUCUCCCCCAAGAGUUCACAUCGACGGGGAGGUUUGGCACCUCGAUGUCGGCUCAUCGCAUCCUGGGGCUGUAGUCGGUCCCAAGGGUUGGGCUGUUCGCCCAUUAAAGCGGUACGCGAGCUGGGUUCAGAACGUCGUGAGACAGUUCGGUCCCUAUCCGUCGUGGGCGUAGGAAAUUUGAGAGGAGCUGUCCUUAGUACGAGAGGACCGGGAUGGACAUACCUCUGGUGUACCAGUUGUCGUGCCAACGGCAUAGCUGGGUAGCUAUGUAUGGACGGGAUAAGUGCUGAAAGCAUCUAAGCAUGAAGCCCCCCU
rnacentral:rRNA from 1 species